AUACGUACCGUACAAACGUUAUUCGGAAUCACUGGGCUUAAAGGGUGCGUAGGCGGUGCGGUCAGUUGGGUGUGAAAUCCCUCGGCUCAACCGAGGAACUGCGCCUAAUACUGCCGUACUCGAGGGAGACAGAGGUAAGCGGAACUGAUGGUGGAGCGGUGAAAUGCGUUGAUAUCAUCAGGAACACCGGUAGCGAAGGCGGCUUACUGGGUCUCUUCUGACGCUGAGGCACGAAAGCUAGGGUAGCGAACGGGAUUAGAAACCCCAGUAGUCC
rnacentral:rRNA from 1 species